CGAUUGGAAGAUUGUGAUGAUGGGAUAUGGAUGUGGAAUAAUACUCGGAAUAUCUGUGGGUUACAUGGUGCUUUACAGUAGAUGGUUUGAUUAUUGGCUAAUUAAAAAAGUUAGAGAAAGAAGAAGAAGAAUGAGCUAGAAUAGAAAACAAGAAAACUGAUCAUGACUUUCGGAUGGAACAGUGUUGAUGAGGUUUGAUUAUUUCUACAACAGGCUCCUGAUCUGCCUAAACUCUUCCCACCU